rnacentral:rRNA from 1 species
GGUUAAGCGACUAAGCGUACACGGUGGAUGCCCUGGCAGUCAGAGGCGAUGAAGGACGUGCUAAUCUGCGAAAAGCGCCGGCGAGGUGAUAUGAACCUUUGACCCGGCGAUGUCCGAAUGGGGAAACCCAGUGCAAUCCGUUGCACUAUCGUUAACUGAAUACAUAGGUUAACGAGGCGAACCGGGGGAACUGAAACAUCUAAGUACCCCGAGGAAAAGAAAUCAACCGAGAUUCCCCCAGUAGCGGCGAGCGAACGGGGAGCAGCCCGGAGUCUGAAUCAGCUUGUGUGUUAGUGGAACGGUCUGGAAAGUCCGACGGUACAGGGUGAUAGUCCCGUACACGAAAGCACACUUGCUGUGAACUCGAAGAGUAGGGCGGGACACGUGGUAUCCUGUCUGAAUAUGGGGGGACCAUCCUCCAAGGCUAAAUACUCCUGACUGACCGAUAGUGAACCAGUACCGUGAGGGAAAGGCGAAAAGAACCCCGGCGAGGGGAGUGAAAAAGAACCUGAAACCGUGUACGUACAAGCAGUGGGAGCCUCUUUAUGGGGUGACUGCGUACCUUUUGUAUAAUGGGUCAGCGACUUAUAUUCUGUAGCAAGGUUAACCGUAUAGGGGAGCCGAAGGGAAACCGAGUCUUAACUGGGCGUUAAGUUGCAGGGUAUAGACCCGAAACCCGGUGAUCUAGCCAUGGGCAGGUUGAAGGUUGGGUAACACUAACUGGAGGACCGAACCGACUAAUGUUGAAAAAUUAGCGGAUGACCUGUGGCUGGGGGUGAAAGGCCAAUCAAACCGGGAGAUAGCUGGUUCUCCCCGAAAGCUAUUUAGGUAGCGCCUCGUGAACUCAUCUUCGGGGUAGAGCACUGUUUCGGCUAGGGGGCCAUCCCGGCUUACCAACCCGAUGCAAACUACGAAUACCGAAGAAUGUUAUCACGGGAGACACACGGCGGGUGCUAACGUCCGUCGUGAAGAGGGAAACAACCCAGACCGCCAGCUAAGGUCCCAAAGUCAUGGUUAAGUGGGAAACGAUGUGGGAAGGCACAGACAGCCAGGAUGUUGGCUUAGAAGCAGCCAUCAUUUAAAGAAAGCGUAAUAGCUCACUGGUCGAGUCGGCCUGCGCGGAAGAUGUAACGGGGCUAAACCAUGCACCGAAGCUGCGGCAGCGACACUAUGUGUUGUUGGGUAGGGGAGCGUUCUGUAAGCCGUUGAAGGUGUGCUGUGAGGCAUGCUGGAGGUAUCAGAAGUGCGAAUGCUGACAUAAGUAACGAUAAAGCGGGUGAAAAGCCCGCUCGCCGGAAGACCAAGGGUUCCUGUCCAACGUUAAUCGGGGCAGGGUGAGUCGACCCCUAAGGCGAGGCCGAAAGGCGUAGUCGAUGGGAAACAGGUUAAUAUUCCUGUACUUGGUGUUACUGCGAAGGGGGGACGGAGAAGGCUAUGUCAGCCGGGCGACGGUUGUCCCGGUUUAAGCAUGUAGGCGGAGGUUCCAGGUAAAUCCGGUACCUUUUAACGCUGAGGUGUGAUGACGAGGCACUACGGUGCUGAAGUGAUAAAUGCCCUGCUUCCAGGAAAAGCCUCUAAGCAUCAGGUAACACGAAAUCGUACCCCAAACCGACACAGGUGGUCAGGUAGAGAAUACCAAGGCGCUUGAGAGAACUCGGGUGAAGGAACUAGGCAAAAUGGUGCCGUAACUUCGGGAGAAGGCACGCUGAUGUGUAGGUGAAGCCCCUGCGGGUGGAGCUGAAAUCAGUCGAAGAUACCAGCUGGCUGCAACUGUUUAUUAAAAACACAGCACUGUGCAAACACGAAAGUGGACGUAUACGGUGUGACGCCUGCCCGGUGCCGGAAGGUUAAUUGAUGGGGUUAGCGGCAACGCGAAGCUCUUGAUCGAAGCCCCGGUAAACGGCGGCCGUAACUAUAACGGUCCUAAGGUAGCGAAAUUCCUUGUCGGGUAAGUUCCGACCUGCACGAAUGGCGUAAUGAUGGCCAGGCUGUCUCCACCCGAGACUCAGUGAAAUUGAACUCGCUGUGAAGAUGCAGUGUACCCGCGGCAAGACGGAAAGACCCCGUGAACCUUUACUAUAGCUUGACACUGAACACUGGUCCUUGAUGUGUAGGAUAGGUGGGAGGCUUUGAAGCGUGGACGCCAGUCUGCGUGGAGCCAACCUUGAAAUACCACCCUUUAAUGGCUGGUGUUCUAACGUAGACCCGUAAUCCGGGUUGCGGACAGUGUCUGGUGGGUAGUUUGACUGGGGCGGUCUCCUCCCAAAGAGUAACGGAGGAGCACGAAGGUUGGCUAAUCCUGGUCGGACAUCAGGAGGUUAGUGCAAUGGCAUAAGCCAGCUUGACUGCGAGCGUGACGGCGCGAGCAGGUGCGAAAGCAGGUCAUAGUGAUCCGGUGGUUCUGAAUGGAAGGGCCAUCGCUCAACGGAUAAAAGGUACUCCGGGGAUAACAGGCUGAUACCGCCCAAGAGUUCAUAUCGACGGCGGUGUUUGGCACCUCGAUGUCGGCUCAUCACAUCCUGGGGCUGAAGUAGGUCCCAAGGGUAUGGCUGUUCGCCAUUUAAAGUGGUACGCGAGCUGGGUUUAGAACGUCGUGAGACAGUUCGGUCCCUAUCUGCCGUGGGCGCUGGAGAAUUGAGGGGGGCUGCUCCUAGUACGAGAGGACCGGAGUGGACGCAUCACUGGUGUUCGGGUUGUCAUGCCAAUGGCACUGCCCGGUAGCUAAAUGCGGAAGAGAUAAGUGCUGAAAGCAUCUAAGCACGAAACUUGCCCCGAGAUGAGUUCUCCCUGAGACCUUGAGUCUCCUGAAGGAACGUUGAAGACGACGACGUUGAUAGGUCGGGUGUGUAAGCGCAGCGAUGCGUUGAGCUAACCGAUACUAAUGAACCGUGAGGCUUAACCUU